ensembl:lncRNA
CAACACAAAUUUAUUUAUUUAUUUAUUUAUUUAUUGUAAAUGUGUAAAAAAGACGUUAACAUGAUAACUUUGCAUUGGCACUACAUGAGUCAUUUUUGUUGAAGACUCAAACUAGACUGGUGGAUUUUUGGGUUGCAGCAUGAUUUGCAUUGUGCCGGAUCAAGAGAGUGCAUGUUGAAACUGCGGGCAGUCGUGGCCUAAUGGUUAGAGAGUUGGACUUGUAACCCAGGUCAUGGGUUCGAGUCUCGGUACUGGAAAGGAUUGCAGUUGGGGGGAGUUAAUGUACAGCGCUCUCUUCCACUCUCAAUACCUCGACUGAGGUGAGACCCUUGAGCAAGGCACAGAAGCACCAACUGCUUCCCGGGCGCUGCAGCAAAAAAGGCUGCCCACUGUUCUGGGUUUGUGUGUGUGUUCACUUGGAUGGGUGAAAUGCAGAGCACAAAUUCCAAGUAUGGAACACCAUCCUUGGCCACAUAUCACGCCCUUUCCUUUCCUUGUUGCAUAUCAGUUUGUUGUAAUUCUACUCCCAACCUCAAGGUGGAACUAGGGAGGGUUCUAAAGGAAGUGCUAUCCUGAUAAGAGAGACAACGAGGAGUGUUUGGUAGAGGUAAUGUCAUGCUUUUGAGUGUGUACUCGGUUUUAUGCAGUAAACCCUGUUAUAAGAAACAUCUUUUGUUCUACAGCUUCAUAGCAUUUUCUUUGGGCCUCAUUCACUCAUCAAGUUUAUGGACACUUCAUCUGGACUAUAGUUAUACUUGUACAUCAUUGACCACCUCUUUCCUGGACUAUUCUUUAUGUGGAUGCACGUUCACAGGAGUACUAUGACGCAUAUGUGUGAUGCUGCUGACGCACGAGCCGGCGUUCUGACGUGGAACCUGGAUGUGCUGUGCCUUGUUUGCAAGCAGGGGAAUGCACUCUCAUGAAUGCAACACGGAAGAGAAGAAAUUGUUGAAUAAAGUCUUUUUUUCUUUGCACACAAAAAGUAUUCUUGUAGCUUCAUAACAUUACGAUUGAACCACAGCACAACUAUUUGCAGUAUUGAUAAUAUUAAUAAAUGUUUCUUGAGCAGCAAAUCAGCAUAUUAGAUUUCUGAAGGAUCAUGUGACACUGAAUACUGAAGGAGUAAUGAUGCUGAAAAUUCAGCAUUGAUAUCACAGGAGUACAUUACAUUUUUAAAAUAUUCAAAACUUUUACUGUACAUCUUUCACAUUAUUAUUUUUUUAAUUCUACGUCAUAUUUCUCACUUUCUUACAUCUCUUCAUCGCCGCCAUCUCUUUGGAGGAGAUUCUCAUCAAAGCCUCUCUGUCAUUCCAGCAUGUUUUUUAUGGCACUGGUGAGAAGUACUUACCCUGAAGGACUCCAGCCAUCGGAAUUUAGAUGGAGAAUUUUCCCUCCCCUUUCUUCACUGCCUUUUUACACAAAUGGAGAGUGCGGACAGGGUAUUAUUAAAGGGCUUUUUUUCUUUCUCUCUGCAUUGCACACUAGUGCACUCAAGAUGUAGUUGAAAAAAAAAAAAAAAAGGCCAGCUCUUGCUCUUAAGAUCAGGUAAUUCCAGUCUGAGUAAUCCCAUUGGGGAAUUUGGUGAGGAAAAUGAUGCAACGACGUGUACACAAGUAUAAAACUAGAACAUGUUUGAGUUUAUGUGUGGGCGUGAUGGAGUGGAAGGAAAGAGAAAUUGAAAUUGUGAGAGGAGGAUUAUAUUGUAUAAUUUGAAGUAUUCAUUUGGACAAGUAGGUGUCCAACUGUGCAUUCCAUGUAUUAAACAUACCUCCCCGCUGCUUUACCUGAAUACCGGCCACACACACACACUUUUCUACAUCAUAUUUUGUCUGCAGAAAGGUGGGUGGAAUGGGAGAAUUCGUAACAAGGGUUGUGGUUAUUGCAAUUUUAUUCAGACUCCACACAUGGAUCAUGAACAACAAUUCAAUUUAGAGUUCAAAUAAUAUCAGACCGUGUAAUCAGUGUUGACAUAAAUACCUUUUAUAUGGUGAUUUGUUCUUGUGAAAAAAGAUUACAUUUAAAUAAUUUCCUUUGUUAUACUAAUGGUAAUUUCGGUUUCAAAACCUGGUGAGCUGCUGUACCUUACUGUGCCUUAUUUUGCCCAAAUUCAGGCAAGAUCUGCAUGUACUUUUAACAGGCAGUCCCAGAAUACACUGUGCUGAGCGAAGCACAAUUCAUAUCAAUAAUAUUAUGAAUCUUAAAAAAGCUUUUGUCCACCACGUAAAAGUCAGUGAUGAAACCAACAUUACAUUAUUUCAUUUAGCAAACAUUUACUAUGCAGAUGU